rnacentral:rRNA from 1 species
UACGGGGGGGGUAAGCGUUGUUCGGAAUUACUGGGCGUAAAGGGCUCGUAGGCGGCCAACUAAGUCGGACGUGAAAUCCCUCAGCUUAACUGUGGGCCUGCGGCCGAUACGGGCAGACUUGAGUUCGGUAGGGGAGACUGGAAUUCCUGGUGUAGCGGUGAAAUGCGCAGAUAUCAGGAGGAACACCGGUGGCGAAGGCGGGUCUCUGGGCCGAUACUGACGCUGAGGAGCGAAAGCGUGGGGAGCGAACAGG